UCAGAACCAAAACUAGAACUUGGGCCUCUGGGAUCUUUGAAUUCUUCCUACUACUCUGUUGCUAGGCAACCUUUCUCGCUUUUGACUCUGUUCCAAUGCAACUUGUUGCCAUGGCAGUGCUGGGACAAGGAGCGGAGAACCUGGGUUCACUUUCUAGCACCCACAUCCUUCCAGAAUUCCAGCUCUAACUCCAAGGAUCCGACUCCUCCUUCUGUUUUCCAAGGGCACCAGGCAUGCAAGAAAAAAACUCAUAGACAUAAAAAAAUUAAAAAAAAAUAAAAAUAUAUGUUAAAAUUCCAAAAUAAUGACGAUUAAUCAAGUGGCGAACAAUUAAACCUCAUUGACCUCUAACCUCCUCAAGUAUGUACACACAUGUGUACAUGCAACGGAACACACAAUGCACAGCCCCACAGGAACAUGUGCAUGAGUCACAAAUAUACAAAGAAUAGGCAUUCCAUUUUGGUGGGCGUCUCUUCUAUUCAAUCCGGAAUGAACAGGGUAACAUUGUUACAGCACCAUCCUGGCUCAGACAGACCUAAGUUCUAUGCCAGACUUUACGGCUUUGUGUUUUUUCUUGGUCUCCAAUCUCUUCGCCUUCUAGUCAUCGUCGAGGUGCUAUGUCUGUUGAGUGAGAAGUGGCGCUAAGGCCUGAGAGCCUUGAGCGGAGCCAGGAUGAAUGACUAGCUUGUGACUCACCUGCCUGUUCUUUUUUGGAUACUCUGCAGAGAUAAAGUUCCAAACGUCUUUAGCACUCUAUCAGUCAACAACCAAGUCGAGAGAUUCCAAAACCUUCUUUGUGUUUUUGUCUUGGGAGGAGAAUGUUCAAAAAGCAGAUUUUGAAAAGAUCUGAGAAAGUCAAGUUCUGUACCUCAGAGCUGUGUUAUCUGCCCCAGGAAUGAGUCACUGGCCGUGGGAGGAGAAGAGAAAGUGUUUUUUGAGGCGACACAAUGGAGAUCGAAUGAUGCAAGUGAUUGCAAUCGCCUCUUCAAUUGAAUCCAAGGGAAUUUUUUUUUUAAUUCAUUCACUUGACUUUUUGAACACAUCUUCUGUGUCAGGACCCAUGUGCAAGAUGAAGACAUGAAUAGAGAAUGGUCCCUGCUUCCAGGGAGCUCAGGAUUACUAGGAAAAAGGCAUCCAAAAUAAUUCCACCUAUGCAAUAGCUGCUCAAAGGAGGUCCAUGGCUAGAGUUUUGGGAGCCCCAGCAGGAAGCCUGGGCUUCGGUGAGGAGAGGAAACUGGAAUUGGCUGAGCUAAGUCUUAAAGGACUAGGGCAAUGGGUAGUGGGCAAGGGGUGGUAGGCAGCGAGCAGUAGGCAGUGGGCAGUGGAUGGUGGGCCGUGGGCAGUGGGCAGUGGGCAGUGGGCAGUAGGCAGUGAGCAGUAGGCAGUGGGCAGUGGACGGUGGGCAGUGGGCAGUGGGCAGUGAGCAGUGGACGGUGGGCAGUGGACGGUGGGUAGUGGGCAGUGGAUGGUGGGCAGUGGGCAGUGGAUGGUGGGCAGUGGACAGUGGGCAGUGGACAGUGGGCAGUGGACGGUGGGCAGUGGACAAUGGGCAGUGGACAAUGGGCAGUGGACAGUGGGCAGUGGGUGGUGGGCAGUGGGCGGUGAGCAGUGGGCAGGCUGAUAAGGAGAGCAGGGAUGUGGGCAGAGAGCCAUGAAAGUAAGAAAGAACAUGUCUUACGCAGGGCACCCACCAGGCUGUAGGAGGGACAAGCUGGGAAGGAGGCUGGCUCAGCUAGUGUUUGUACCUCCACUUGCAGGUCUGGCCCACACCAGAGAUGAUGUCCAUUUUGAGAAGCACCCAGUCCCAACUAUCUUUACAGAGUUUACAUGUUCUCCCUCUGUGCUGUUUGCCCCGACUGUCCCCUUUGACCUACAGUUCCUGACCUCUUUUGUCACAGUGGGAACUCAGACCUUUACUGGUUAACCAUGUUAAAUGUGUGUUUGGAGGAGGUACACGCGUGUAUUUGGAUAUAAAUGCACAUCCAUGUGUGUACAUAUAUGUGGAGGCCCAGAGCUGAUGUUGGGAGUCUUCCUCAAUAGUAUUUCAUAUUAGUCACUGAGGCAAGGUCUUACUUGAGUCCAAAGCUCACCAAUCGCACUGGUCUAACCAGCCAGCUUGCUCUAGGGCUUCUCCUGUCUCCAAAUUCAGUGAAAGACCCUGUCUCAAGGAAAGGCAACAGAGCUAGAGAAAGACACCCAGUGUUAGCCCCUAGCUUAUGCAUGCACACAGGUCCAUGGGCUUGCAUAUGUGUAUAUGUACCAUGCACGUGUACAUAUACAAAUUAAAGUAUUUAAUUAAGUUCUAAGAAAUUUUAAGUGGAGGUUCAAAAAACAAAACAUAAAACCCAGAGGCUGGAGAGAAAGCUCAGCUGUUAAGAGCACUUGCUGCUCUCAGGAGACCCUGGUUCUGUUCCUAGUAUCCUCUCGGCAGUUGACAGCUGUUUUGUAAUCCCAGUUCCAGGGACCCUGACACUUUAUUUUGGCUUCUGUGGGCACCAGACAUGCAGGUGGUGUGCAGGCAUGCAUGCAGGCAAAGCACUCACACCUAUAAAAUAAAAACAAAUAAACACUUUAAAAAGAAAGAAUAACCGAUUCUCCAGAGUCAAGCCAGGAAUAAGGUUGCUAUGGCUGGCACUUAACAGCUGUCUAAGACCCAGUGGUCAUCCCAAAUCUUCCUUUUCAUUCAAACCCAGAGAAGGAAUGAGCCCUCCAGCAUGACCGGUUCGCUGAGCUCCCAUAAUUACCAGCUAGCCGAGCCCCAAGCAUGACCAGGGACCAGCCCAGAGAAAAAUCUCAGGUUGCAUCCAUUCUUUGACACACGAGAAAGACCCAGGGUCAGGUGGAGGUCAUAAUGGUGGAUAAACUCUUACCUUAAAUGGGAGUGGAAGAAAAUGGAAUGGGUGCAUCACGUCUCCUGUCUGAGACUGGGAGCUCAGCAAGUGAGCUUUAAAGUCCUGAGUGUCAUAAAAGCUUGCUCUGAACUGCUGACUAUGGGUACUGGGAUGCUGGGGUGCAGGUGAGUCCUACCUGCAGGGCAGUUUGUCAGACACCAGAGAUCAGAUUUCUUCCUGCUUAACAUACCCAAAAAAGCAUUUCUGAGGGGUGUGUGUGUGUGUGUGUGUGUGUGUGUGUGUGUGUGUGUGUGUGCGCGCGCGCGCGCGCACAUGCGCUGAUAAGACACCAGAAGAGAGUAUCAGAUCCCCUGGAGUUGGAGUUACAGAUGGUUGUAAGCUGCCUGAUGUGGGUGCUGAGAUCUCUCUCUCUCUCUCUCUCUCUCUCUCUCUCUCUCUCUCUCUCUCUCUCUUUCCACCAAGCACUCUUAACUUCUUAACUGUUGAGCCAUUUCUGCAGCCCAAUCCUUCACUCUUAUUUCUGGCCCCAAGACUCAAGAUUUCCCUUUGCUUUAGGAAGUAGGAAGGACUGCUCUCCCUGCCCAGAGAUGGGUCCUGUGCUUCCUGCCUGUUUAAAUGUCAGGAUCCCGAAAACCUCUUUUCAAAAGGCACACACAGCACUCAGAGUCAGCCAGCGAGGGAUUCAAAGGCCUGUGGGCGAAACUUGGAAGACACGGGACCUCAGCUAACUCCCAUAAUCUCCCUGAGGAUCAGAUGUCCCACGACAGAAGAAUGGAUACAGAAAAUGUGAUUCACUUACACAACAGAAUACUACUCAGCUAUUAAGAACGAGGACAUCCUGAGUUUUGCAGGCAAAUGGAUGGAACUAGAAAAUGUCAUCCUGAGUGAGAAAUGCAGAGAUGGAAAUGGAGAAGAGCCCGAGGAAAAGAAGGUCCAGCGACAGGCUCAAAGUGGGUUCCAGCUCAAGAAGAGGCCCCAAGACCUGACACCAUUACUGAAGCUCUGGGGUGUUCACAAAAAGGGACCUACCAUGACUGCUCUCCAAAAGACCUGGCAAGCAGCUGAGUCAGAUGCAAAUGUGUGUACCCAACCAAUGAACAGAAGCUGCUGACCCCUGUGGUUGAAUUAGGGAAAAACUGGAAGAAACUAAGGAGGGCAACACUGUAGGAGGACCAGCAGUCUCAAUUAACCUGGACCCCUGAGAUCUCCUAGACACUGGAUCACCAACCAGGCAGCAUAUAUCAGCUGAGAUGAGGCCCCCAACACAUACACAGCAGAGGACUCCCAGGUUCAGUCAGAGAAGAUGAGCCUAACCCUCAAGAGACUGGAGGUCCCAGGAAGUUUAGAGGUCUGGUGGGGUGGGUGGAGUAGGGACAUCCUUGUGGAGAUGGGGAGGGGAGAGGGAAGAGGGGGGAGGAGGUAUGGGAUAUGGAACCCUCAGGUGGUAGACCAGGAGGGGAAUAAAAUCUGGAGUGUAAAAAUAAAUAAAUACAUUUAAAAA